AGAGUUUGAUCCUGGCUCAGAACGAACGUUGGCGGCGUGGAUUAGGCAUGCAAGUCGAGGGCGAAAGAGGGGCAACUCUCGAGUAGACCGGCGUAAGGGGUAGUAAGGCGUGGGUAACCAACCCUCGGGAUGGGGAUAGCUACGGGAAACUGUAGGUAAUACCCAGCGACGUUGUUGAGGGGCAUCUCUUGACAACCAAAGGUGUAAUUCCGCCCGAGGACGGGCUCACGUGGUAUUAGCUAGUUGGUAGGGUAAUGGCCUACCAAGGCUACGAUGCCUAGGGGGUGUUAGCGCACGAUCCCCACCACUGGGACUGAGACACUGCCCAGACACCUACGGGUGGCUGCAGUCGAGAAUCUUCGGCAAUGGGCGCAAGCCUGACCGAGCGACGCCGCGUGGAGGAUGAAGGCCUUCGGGUUGUAAACUCCUGUCAGAGGGGCGGAAAGCCAGGGGAGCUCUCUCCCUUGGUUGACUUAUCCUCAGAGGAAGCACGGGCUAAGUUCGUGCCAGCAGCCGCGGUAAGACGAACCGUGCAAACGUUGUUCGGAAUCACUGGGCUUAAAGGGCGCGUAGGCGGUGUGUUAAGUCGGCGGUGAAAUACUUCGGCUCAACCGUAGAAUGGCCGCUGAAACUGGCACGCUAGAGGGAGGUAGAGGUGCGUGGAACUUCCGGUGGAGUGGUGAAAUACGUUGAUAUCGGAAGGAACGCCUGUGGCGAAAGCGACGCACUGGACCUCUACUGACGCUGAGGCGCGAAAGCUAGGGUAGCGAACGGGAUUAGAUACCCCCGUAGUCC
rnacentral:rRNA from 1 species